CUGAGGGGAGUGGUUCGGUUGGACGCAUGGGGCAAGGUCACGUGAUACAGCACGCCACUUGAUGGAAAAAUACAAGACUUUGGAGAAGCCAGACAUCAAGCUCUCUUGCUACAGCGCAGGAAUGGAAGGGAAUAUGACCGAGCACGGUGUAUUAUAAUAUUCUGUUUUUGGUGUGUCUGAUUUACUGUCUUUAAUUGUAUUUACAGACUUAAUUUACCUCUGAAAGCAGGCAUACAGUGCACUUAACGAUAAAGCUAAACUGAAAAUAGAUUGAUUAAAACUGAAAAGUAGACUGCA